UAUUGGCGCGCCUCAAUCCGA
rnacentral:miRNA from 1 species